rnacentral:lncRNA from 1 species
CGUUGGAAACUCUUGAAAAGGUCCUCGUGGUUGGAAAUUAGAAUCCUCGUCAAACAAGUAUACCACUAUGCCAGUCUGAAAUUCAAAGCCUUUACAAGGAGAUAUUGAUGACGGCGGUAGCGAUCAAGACUUAUUACCACUUUAUAAUAUUCUAUCACAUCCGACUUUAUAAUAUUCUCAAAGACUCAAAGUGGAUUGUAAAUUAUCCUUUUCUGACGACCAAAUGGCGCACUGUCAUUGAUGGCCGCAAGUGAUUGUUAAAAUAUGGAUUUCCUCCCACUCGGAUGCAGAAGGCCCUCUUGCACCAUAUCUUCUUUCCUUCCAUGUUUGGAAAUUAAUCCAAAACUUAUCAUCCUUCACGCAAUCAUCCCUUCCGGUUUCAGCCACAUAUACUUUCUGGAAAAAAGGAAGGAUAAUGAAUGGAAUUAAUUUGAUCUUGCAACAAGCAAGAAGUACAAAUUAUGUGUGAUAAUCUUACCACAAGAGCAGUGUGAUGAUGCACUGUACUCUCUAGAGUAGCAUUGAACUUCACACCUAGCAGCCCACAAAUCUUUGAAGAGAGCUCCUUGAUUGAAGCUUUUUCCAUGGCUGACCAGUUCCCAAUUCCAAGUAUCUGAGGUGGAGAGACAUUUAAUUUACUAAAUUUAUUAUUUAAACACUUAUUUAAUCAAGAAGCAUUUUGGAUUGAUGAAAUUUUACCCUUCUCCUCUCUUCACUUCUCCAAUAUGUGAACUUUUUCCCCUCAAAUUUGUCAACCUUGCUCAUUAGCUCUUCAAUUUUUAGCCCGUAUGGUGAGUUCUCGAACUCAAUCCGUAGUUGUUCCUUAAUUCAAAAUCAUAUCAUAAUAUUGCAUAAAACAAAAUGUAGUGUAUUUCUGAAAAUAUUUAGUGUUGUUAUGCAUAUGUAUGUAUGUGUGUAUGUACACACUUACAGUCUUGCUUUCAUUGGUCUUGGGAAACCGUCCAAGUUGAAUGUAUGCCUUUGCCAAUAUUUUCGUUACAUUUGUCUGUUAUAAUAGUUUUAGUAAGUAGAUUAUAAAAAAAGAAUAAAGUCUUAUGUGCCAAAUAUAACGCAAAAAAUGCAUGGUUGUUUAUAAAUAAAUACUGACUGCAUGGCUUGAUUUGGCCAAGUCAAAUUCUUGCUUGUCAAACUUGGAGCCCAGAUUCUUUAUUGCCUUCUCCAUUGUUGCCUGCCGUUUCUGCACGUCUUUGACCAUUUC